ACGAACCGUCCAAACGUUAUUCGGAAUCACUGGGCUUACAGAGUUCGUAGGCGGUGGAGAAAGUAGGGUGUGAAAGCCCUCGGCCUAACCGAGGAAUUGCGCCCUAAACUACUUCGCUGGAGGAGGAUAGAGGUGAGCAGAACUGAUGGUGGAGCGGUGAAAUGCGUUGAUAUCAUCAGGAAUACCGGAGGCGAAGGCGGCUCACUGGGUCCUUUCUGACGCUGAGGAACGAAAGCUAGGGGAGCGAACGGGA
rnacentral:rRNA from 1 species